rnacentral:rRNA from 1 species
CAGGGUAUAGACCCGAAACCCGGUGAUCUACCAUGGGCAGGUUGAAGGUUGGGUAACACUAACUGGAGGACCGAACCGACUAAUGUUGAAAAAUUAGCGGAUGACUUGUGGCUGGGGGUGAAAGGCCAAUCAAACCGGGAGAUAGCUGGUUCUCCCCGAAAGCUAUUUAGGUAGCGCCUCGUGAACUCAUCUUCGGGGGGUAGAGCACUGUUGGCUAGGGGGUCAUCCCGACUUACCAACCCGAGCAAACUGCGAAUACCGAAGAAUGUUAUCACGGGAGACACACGGCGGUGCUAACGUCCGUCGUGAAGAGGG